rnacentral:tRNA from 1 species
UCCCCUGUGGCUCAGUUGGUAGAGCAUGGUGUUUGCAACGCCAGCAUGGUGUGUGCAACGCCAGGGUUGUGGGUUUGAUUCCCACAGGGGGCC